rnacentral:rRNA from 1 species
AACGAACGCUAGCGGCAGGCUUAACACAUGCAAGUCGAGCGCCCCGCAAGGGGAGCGGCAGACGGGUGAGUAACGCGUGGGAAUCUACCCAUCUCUACGGAAUAACGCAUGGAAACGUGUGCUAAUACCGCAUACGUCCUUCGGGAGAAAGAUUUAUCGGAGAUGGAUGAGCCCGCGUUGGAUUAGCUAGUUGGUGGGGUAAAGGCCUACCAAGGCGACGAUCCAUAGCUGGUCUGAGAGGAUGAUCAGCCACACUGGGACUGAGACACGGCCCAGACUCCUACGGGAGGCAGCAGUGGGGAAUAUUGGACAAUGGGCGCAAGCCUGCUCCAGCCAUGCCGCGUGAGUGAUGAAGGCCCUAGGGUUGUAAAGCUCUUUCACCGGUGAAGAUAAUGACGGUAACCGGAGAAGAAGCCCCGGCUAACUUCGUGCCAGCAGCCGCCGUAAGAC